AGCUGCGGUGACUGUUAAAAUCUAAUCUCACGAUCCCAUCUGAUCUCGGAAGCUAAGCAGGGGCAGGCCUGGUUAAUACUUGGAUGGCAGACCACCUAGGAAGACCAGGUGCUGUAGGCG
rnacentral:rRNA from 1 species